rnacentral:rRNA from 1 species
CAGCAGCCACGGGAAUACAGAGGGUGCGAGCGUUAAUCGGAUUUACUGGGCGUAAAGCGUGCGUAGGCGUCUUUUUAAGUCGGAUGUGAAAUCCCUGAGCUUAACUUAGGAAUUGCAUUCGAUACUGGGAAGCUAGAGUAUGGGAGAGGAUGGUAGAAUUCCAGGUGUAGCGGUGAAAUGCGUAGAGAUCUGGAGGAAUACCGAUGGCGAAGGCAGCCAUCUGGCCUAAUACUGACGCUGAGGUACGAAAGCAUGGGGAGCAAACAGGAUUAGAUACCCGUGUAGUCCCUGUCUCUUAUAC